rnacentral:rRNA from 1 species
UAAUGCCUAGGAAUCUGCCUGGUAGUGGGGGACAACGUCUCGAAAGGGACGCUAAUACCGCAUACGUCCUACGGGAGAAAGCAGGGGACCUUCGGGCCUUGCGCUAUCAGAUGAGCCUAGGUCGGAUUAGCUAGUUGGUGAGGUAAUGGCUCACCAAGGCGACGAUCCGUAACUGGUCUGAGAGGAUGAUCAGUCACACUGGAACUGAGACACGGUCCAGACUCCUACGGGAGGCAGCAGUGGGGAAUAUUGGACAAUGGGCGAAAGCCUGAUCCAGCCAUGCCGCGUGUGUGAAGAAGGUCUUCGGAUUGUAAAGCACUUUAAGUUGGGAGGAAGGGCUGUAAAUUAAUACUUUGCUGUUUUGACGUUACCGACAGAAUAAGCACCGGCUAACUCUGUGCCAGCAGCCGCGGUAAUACAGAGGGUGCAAGCGUUAAUCGGAAUUACUGGGCGUAAAGCGCGCGUAGGUGGUUUGUUAAGUUGGAUGUGAAAGCCCCGGGCUCAACCUGGGAACUGCAUUCAAAACUGACAAGCUAGAGUAUGGUAGAGGGUGGUGGAAUUUCCUGUGUAGCGGUGAAAUGCGUAGAUAUAGGAAGGAACACCAGUGGCGAAGGCGACCACCUGGACUGAUACUGACACUGAGGUGCGAAAGCGUGGGGAGCAAACAGGAUUAGAUA